rnacentral:rRNA from 1 species
UACGUAAGGGGCAAGCGUUAUCCGGAUUUACUGGGUGUAAAGGGAGCGUAGACGGACGGACAAGUCUGAUGUGAAAGGCGGGGGCCCAACCCCCGGACUGCAUUGGAAACUGCCCGUCUUGAGUGCCGGAGAGGUAAGCGGAAUUCCUAGUGUAGCGGUGAAAUGCGUAGAUAUUAGGAGGAACACCAGUGGCGAAGGCGGCUUACUGGACGGUAACUGACGUUGAGGCUCGAAAGCGUGGGGAGCAAACAGG